UGGGGAAUCUUCCGCAAUGGACGAAAGUCUGACGGAGCAACGCCGCGUGAACGAUGACGGCCUUCGGUUGUAAAGUUCUGUUAUACGGGACGAAUGGCGUAACGGUCAAUACCCGUUACGAGUGACGGUACCGUAAGAGAAAGCCACGGCUAACUACGUGCCAGCAGCCGCGGUAAUACGUAGGUGGCAAGCGUUGUCCGGAAUUAUUGGGCGUAAAGGGCGCGCAGGCGGUCUGGUAAGUCGGUCUUAAAAGUGCGGGGCUUAACCCCGUGAGGGGACCGAAACUGCCAGACUAGAGUAUCGGAGAGGAAAGCGGAAUUCCUAGUGUAGCGGUGAAAUGCGUAGAUAUUAGGAGGAACACCAGUGGCGAAAGCGGCUUUCUGGACGACAACUGACGCUGAGGCGCGAAAGCCAGGGGAGCAAACGGGAUUAGAUACCCUGGUAGU
rnacentral:rRNA from 1 species